GACAGAGGGUGCAAACGUUGUUCGGAAUUACUGGGCGUAAAGCGUGUGUAGGCGGCUUUGCAAGUCGGAUGUGAAAGCCCCGGGCUCAACCCGGGAAGUGCACUCGAUACUGCAGAGCUUGAGUGUCGGAGAGGUUGGUGGAAUUCUCGGUGUAGAGGUGAAAUGCGUAGAGAUGCGGAGGAACACCGAUGGCGAAGGCAGCCCCCUGGGUCAAGAUUGACGCUCAUGCACGAAAGCGUGGGGAGCAAACAGG
rnacentral:rRNA from 1 species